rnacentral:rRNA from 1 species
CCCUUAGAUGUUCUGGGCCGCACGCGCGCUACACUGAUGCAUUCAACGAGCCUAUCCUUGACCGACAGGUCCGGGUAAUCUUUGAAUCUGCAUCGUGACGGGGAUAGAUUAUUGCAAUUAUUAAUCUUCAACGAGGAAUGCCUAGUAGGCGCAAGUCAUCAGCUUGCGUCGAUUACGUCCCUGCCCUUUGUACACACCGCCCGUCGCACCUACCGAUUGAAUGGUCCGGUGAAAUCUUCGGAUUGAGACUUUGAUUUCUUCACGGAAAACGCUGUUUUAAAAAGUUGAUUAAACCUUACCAUUUAGAGGAAGGUGAAGUCGUAACA